rnacentral:rRNA from 1 species
GAUGAACGCUGGCGGCGUGCCUAAUACAUGCAAGUCGAGCGAACAGACCAGGAGUUUUCUCGUCCGACGUUAUCGGCGGACGGGAGAUUAACACGUGGAUAACAUAACUAUGAGAAUGGGGUAACUACGGGGAACCGGAGCUAAUGCCGGAAAAUAUAUUGAACCGGAUGGUUCAAUAGUGAAAGACGGUUUUGCGGUCGGUUAUAGCUGGAUCCGCGUCGCAUUAGCUAGUUGGUAAGGUAGCGGCUUACCAAGGCAACGAUGCGUAGCCGCCCUGAGAGGGUGAUUGCCUAGCCGGGAACUGAGAAACGGCCCAGACUCCUACGGGGAGAAGCAGUAGGGACUCUUCCGCAAUGGGGGAAAGCCUAACGUUGCACAGCCGGGGCAGUGCUGAAGCACUUAGGAUCCUAAAACUCUGUUAUUAGGGAAGAACAAAUGUGUAAGUACAUAUGCACGUCUUGACGGUACCUAAUCAGGAAGCCCCGGCUAACUACGUG